rnacentral:misc_RNA from 1 species
GCUAAAUGAUUUGUUUUACGUCAAUCCAGCUGUUAUUUGUGCCCGUUAUAGUGAUGAGGAGUAUCUGAAAAAUAGAUGCAAAGGUGAUAAAGAAAUCUUCUUCCAGCGGUAUGGACGGUACAAUAUUGACAAGAUAUGGCGAGAUGAUAUAUUCCCUUGUCGUGUUUAUCUCCGUCAUUGUGUCCUGGCAGCUCAAAAUCUUGGUAAUCUAGCCUACGACAACUUUCUAGAUCAUACCUUCCUUGGUGACCGUAGAACUACAAUACGUGAGUACUUGUUAACAACUGGUUCUGGAAUCAUG